UGGAAAUCGGCAAUUUUUGCCAAUUUGAGGAAAACGUGCUUAAAGUUAAACUUUCAUUUUAUCAACAAGAAAGCCGCCUUAAAAUGGCAUUAUAGUACUAAAAGUCAAUAGCUACCAUUUCAGAAUGCUCCUGCCUUGUAUGUGGUACCAUCUUUCUCUUUUGUAUUGUCCUCUUUCUUUUUUUGACCACGCAGGAUCUUUCUCCUCUUCUUCACCGCCGGAGUGUUUCUGUGGUCAGCUUUCUUUACUCGUCUCUUGUCAGCUUUCCCAACCCCGUAUUCAAAAAAUUGUCCUGGCACCAAACCAAGUUUAUUAAAGAUUUUUGUUGCAGCCUUGGAACCAAUAUUGAAGUGGGCAACUGCAUCAUACGCACCAAACUCCAGCACAUCAGCACCAACAAAGAUGCUCUUCCAAAUAUCCUCUUCAUCCCUUCUGUUUCCAUAGAUGGUG